CCUGUUUGGAUCCCUCGUGGUUGCAUUUGGUUUUCCCAAUAACUGUCAAAGUUUUGCCUCAAAGUUUUGCCCUCUCCGUUCACCUUACUCCAGUCCACAGGUUGUUCCUUUCCUUGUUGUGACACUUCAAAUCUCUUGAAAUAUUUGUAUAGCUUUUUUACUAUACAUAACAUAUCAUACAGUACUAAACAACACAUAUCCAAACAUACACUGAAAUUGACAGAAAUAAUUUUUACUAAGUGUUAAUUUCCUCCCAAAAUUAGGAAUAUUAUCCUACCAUUGAAUUGUUAUAUUGUGUGAAAUUAUAUAAUAUGUUAAUUUAUUGUAUAUUUUAAACAGAUCAGAAAAACAGUGAUUUAUCAAAAGUGGAAUGGUCACAUAAGCAGUGCCAUGACGAGGACACACUGAAUUACGCUGCCCUGAACCUUAAGAACCCAAAACCCAGGAGACAGAAGAAAGACGGGAAUAAUGACACUCUGUAUUCUGACCUCCGCUACAGAGAUUAUGAAUAAAGAUGCUUCUCAUUCAUGUCAGUCACACAAAGUGUUCAGGGUGGAGGGCAGGGGAGCCAGUGCUUCUGAGACUGAAUCAUGGGAUUUUACGGAGCCCGAUCCUCGUGUGUGCCACGCCCCCCUGAUUAUCCACAUGUGCUUCCCUGAUUGUACCCAGCUGUACCCUGUUGUCUUGUCUAUUUCAGUCCCAGUCUUGAAAAGUGACAUACAGCUGUAAGCUGUUUUGGUUUGUUUGUCUGCUGAGUGCUUCUCUGCAGUGCUGCAGAUGUUUCCACUGGUUAGAUGCAGCUCAGGAAGACUGACCCACUGACUGCACUGUGUUGGGCUCACUUUGCAAAGAGUAAAAACCACACAGAGAGAACAAUACCUGCUUCAUUUAAGACCCUGUUUGAUCUCUACCUCACCCAGGUCACGCUUUGAAGUAGCCCUAGAUAUCCAAACAAUCUACCAUUUUCAUUGACGCAGUACACCUUUGACACAUGAGUACUACACACAACAGACCCUGUACAUUGAAUAUAGAAUGUAUAGCUUUCACAACAGAGCACACCAUUUAUAUUAUUUAUAUAUUGUUCCCAUUUCUAAUGGCAUGCUUUUGUCUGCGUGUUGAAAAACUCCAUUCAUCUAUCUUCCAACAUAUAUGAUGGUCAGGGAGAAGUACUGAUAGGGAUCUAAUAUUGAUAAACAUGUAAUAUUGGCCAGCAAUAAUGACCAUGAUUGACACAUACUGAUAUUAUCGUGUCCUGCAGGAUGGGGCUGGCCAGUUAGUAACAAUUAGCACCUAUCUCCAAUAGGGUAUCUCUCUCCCCUAGGAUUGUCUGUUCUCCGUGUCCUGAGGAGGCUUAUGUCCACGUACAUCACAGCAUGAGGUCUCCCCCAUUACCCACCCCAUGCACAGCGCAUGGGCCCAGCAUGAGGUCUCCCCCAUUACCCACCCCACACACAGUACAUGGACCCAGCAUGAGGUCUCCCCCAUUACCCACCCCACACACAGCGCAUGGACCCAGCAUGAGGUCUCCCCCAUUACUCACCCCACACACAGCGCAUGGACCCAGCAUGAGGUCUCCCCCAUUACCCACCCCACACACAGCGCAUGGACCCAGCAUGAGGUUGCCCACGCGAUCUCCCCUUUACUGCUCGAGCAGAGCACACGCACAUCAACAAAUGUCAAGGCAUUAAGUGCAUUCAAACAACUUCUCAGGACAGUUAUAGGCUUGUCAGAACUCGCCCUCUAGUGGUUUGGACACAUACAUCCAAGUUUUUAAUAGAGUAAAAGGACCUCCAAUAGAAGAAACAAACGUGUAAGAUCAAACAAAAACCGCUUGUUAAAUUCCAAAAAAGACAAAACACACAUUUUCCCAUAAAAAUGACUGUCAUGCUCUCAAAUAGCUUGCUCACUCAUCGCAGAAAAAUUUCAGUUAGCAUUCUGUAAACACGUGCUGUGUUUUUCAUCUCCAGAGUUUUUGAAGAAAACCACUGAAUGAAAAGUUACCCUCGUUUGAAAGCUUGAUCUCCUAUGUAUACGAAUCAAUCACUGUCAUUCUUCGUUGUCAAGUAUUUUUAAAAUAUACGCUCUGCUUCCCUGCAAGCAUACCAAUUUUUACGCACUGAACCUUUGCCCAUGGUUAUGUUUCACUAUAAUAAACUUUUUGUAUGAACAUCAAA